rnacentral:rRNA from 1 species
AGUGAACGCUGGCGGUAGGCCUAACACAUGCAAGUCGAACGGCAGCACAGUAAGAGCUUGCUCUUACGGGUGGCGAGUGGCGGACGGGUGAGGAAUACAUCGGAAUCUACUUUUUCGUGGGGGAUAACGUAGGGAAACUUACGCUAAUACCUCAUACUACCUACGGGUAAAUCAGGGGAUCUUCGGACCUUUCGCUAUUGAAUGUGCCGAUGUCGGAUUAGCUAGUUGGCGGGGUAAAGGCCCACCAAGGCGACGAUCCGUAGCUGGUCUGAGAGGAUGAUCAGCCACACUGGAACUGAGACACGGUCCAGACUCCUACGGGAGGCAGCAGUGGGGAAUAUUGGACAAUGGGCGAAAGCCUGAUCCAGCCAUACCGCGUGGGUGAAGAAGGCCUUCGGGUUGUAAAGCCCUUUUGUUGGGAAAGAAAAGAAGCAGGUUAAUACCCCGCUGUUCUGACGGUACCCAAAGAAUAAGCACCGGCUAACUUCGUG